rnacentral:rRNA from 1 species
GCAAGUCGAACGGGAUCCCGGGGGUUCGCCUCCGGGUGAGAGUGGCGAACGGGUGAGUAAUGCGUGACCGACCUGCCCCAUACACCGGAAUAGCUCCUGGAAACGGGUGGUAAUGCCGGAUGCUCCGGUUGGAUGCAUGUCCUUCCGGGAAAGGUUCCAUCGGUAUGGGAUGGGGUCGCGUCCUAUCAGCUUGAUGGCGGGGUAACGGCCCACCAUGGCUUCGACGGGUAGCCGGCCUGAGAGGGCGACCGGCCACAUUGGGACUGAGAUACGGCCCAGACUCCUACGGGAGGCAGCAGUGGGGAAUAUUGCACAAUGGGCGCAAGCCUGAUGCAGCGACGCCGCGUGCGGGAUGGAGGCCUUCGGGUUGUAAACCGCUUUUGAUCGGGAGCAAGCCCUUCGGGGUGAGUGUACCCUUCGAAUAAGCACCGGCUAACUACGUGCCAGCAGCCGCGGUAAUACGUAGGGUGCAAGCGUUAUCCGGAAUUAUUGGGCGUAAAGGGCUCGUAGGCGGUUCGUCGCGUCCGGUGUGAAAGCCCAUCGCUUAACGGUGGGUCUGCGCCGGGUACGGGCGGGCUGGAGUGCGGUAGGGGAGACUGGAAUUCCCGGUGUAACGGUGGAAUGUGUAGAUAUCGGGAAGAACACCAAUGGCGAAGGCAGGUCUCUGGGCCG